rnacentral:rRNA from 1 species
GAUGAACGCUGGCGGCGUGCUUAACACAUGCAAGUCGAACGAAGAUGCCGGAGUGCUUGCACUUUGGCAGACUGAGUGGCGGACGGGUGAGUAACGCGUGGGUAACCUGCCUUAUACAGGGGGAUAACAGUUGGAACGACUGCUAAUACCGCAUAAGCGCACGGUAUCGCAUGAUACAGUGUGAAAAACUCCGGUGGUAUAAGAUGGACCCGCGUCUGAUUAGCUUGUUGGUGAGGUAACGGCCCACCAAGGCGACGAUCAGUAGCCGGCCUGAGAGGGUGAACGGCCACAUUGGGACUGAGACACGGCCCAAACUCCUACGGGAGGCAGCAGUGGGGAAUAUUGCACAAUGGGGGGAAACCCUGAUGCAGCGACGCCGCGUGAGUGAUGAAGUAUUUCGGUAUGUAAAACUCUAUCAGCAGGGAAGAUAAUGACGGUACCUGACUAAGAAGCACCGGCUAAAUACGUGCCAGCAGCCGCGGU